UGCAGCAUGAUGUAGUGGUGAA
rnacentral:miRNA from 1 species